rnacentral:lncRNA from 1 species
GUGAGAAAGGUGCAGUGCUUCUGUCGGCCAGUGAAGACACAGUAGUUCUUAUUCUCGGGAAGAGGUCCCUUAGAGCAACCGGAUGAGUUUGUUAGCAAGCAGCUUGUUACUAGAAAGUAUUUCUAAGUGUAAGUAAAGGCAGUUUCACUGGAGCUACUAAGCUGCCCAAAUGCCCCUUCACCGUACGCAGUGGCAGAAACUCAGUGCUGUGACUAAUGGACGGGGCGUGGGUACCAACUCUGAUGCCAGCAUAUAGCGGUGCUAUGUUAAACAUGAGGUCAUGUUGAAACCACUAAGUAUAAUUUACUUCAUUUUUAACUUAAAAUCAUUUAAUAUCAAUUUUAUACUAUCAUUUCACUUGUUUCAAAAUGCAUUUUGUUUCAGGUGAUAGUUGAGCAAUGUUUAAAAAUCAGGUCAGGUGCAGGAUUUUGCCUAAGGAGAGUGUGUAGUUUCAUUGCUCUUCUUCUCUUCAUACUAAGAUCGAGAUGAGAAGUGAGGGGGUUCCAAGCAAGCUAGCUUCCAUUCAGUGACCAUAGAGAACCUUGCUGUGGACAUCACUGGCCAAGUAUCUUGUGUCCUGUCUCCUAAGACUGACUGCCAUUGAUUUGGCAUUUUGCUUCACAUGACUCCUUUUCUCAGAUGUUGACAAAGCCGUGGUCCUCAGGGCCUCCUGUGGAAUUGUGCCGAGGACCAUCACCAGGAAUAAGAAGUGCACUGGCUUACGCUCAUCUACACUGUGGGAAAGACUUGAGCCACAGAACCUGUUUCUGCAGGCAAUAGCCUUUUUAUUUUUCCCCCCAAACUUUAAAAAAAUUACUGAGUUUCAAAUACUUGCCUAUCCAAGUAUAGUCUAGCUGUCUAUUUGAGACCAGCAUAAUCCAUUAUGAAAGAGAAAGACAUCCUGGAUUAGUGUAUGCUAAGAUGGGUAAUUUAAAAAGUUAAAAAACAACCCCCCACCCCCAGCCCAAACCAAAGCCCAUGUGUCAUUAUGUUUGACCAAACAUUUCACCAUCAAUGGUACCUUAUCAUUAACUUUCUUAGUUGGUUUUUUGUUCACCAUUGGAAAUGACUGCAGGAUAGAUGUUUCUGGACAUCUAAGAAAUACACAAUUGUGACCGUGUUUAAUGAUCUACCUACACAAAGCUUUGCAGAUAGCCAUCCUUCUGCCAUGGAGACCAACAGGGCACUGUCUCUUCAAAGAUCCUGUGCUUGAAUGCCUAUAGUGAUACCUAGGCCUUAUGUCUCUUCACGUCAGUAGCUAGCAAGCACCUAUCAAUACCCACACUAGUGAAAGGGAUAGAUGUAUGGUCAUUGGAGCCUAAGUGCCCACUCCCUCCCUCUCCAACCUCACUGGUAACUCUGUAUGCGAUCUGCUGGAUGUCUGCCGCACAUCACAGGAGAUGCAGAAAUUCCAUGUCUGUUUCACUGUUGGUGGAGUCAUUCAGUCUGUCUUGGGAACUUAAGAUUGUGGCUCCCAAAUGAGUGGAACAGAGGAUAUUACCAUGAGCUUGUCCCUUUCUCACAAAGCACAACUUAAUGUAUGAGAGGAAUUGAGUAACAUUCCAUUAAAAGCUGGGCUUCUCGCAGUUUCUCUGCAGCAGGGACAGCAUUCCCAGCUGUCUGCAGUACUUCCCCUUUCCCCCUUUCUAGUACUUUAUUCUGUGCCACGUGGCCAUGAGCAUUAGUCACACAGGGGCACACUCUUACCUGUAUUUGCCCUCUGUCCCUCCUGAGCAUACCAAGUGUGGAACAAAGGGAAACGGUGCUGUCUCAUACUCAACUAUCGAAGAUGAAUCCUAUUCUGAACACCAACAGGGCCCCAUCCUCCCACAAGCUUGUCUCAAUGGCUGUUUGCUACUGGUUUUCAUUCUGGAGUGUCCUCUCAAAGCGAGCUGUUCCCACGAAAUGAACAGCAGGUUUGCUGUGCAGAGAGGCGUUAGCUUUUUCCUUCUGUGGGCUACAUGUAUUAGCAGGCUGAACAGUCUGGCAGUUGAUGGGCUAUGAAGGUUAUACUGAGUCAAGAUAAGAGUUGUUCUUUUUACCCUUAACCCCAAAGCUUCUACAGCAAUAAAACAUUCUUGGAUACCU